CAACAAUUUCGACAAUGUUACCCCCACGGGCGCCGUCUGAUGGUUUUUGUUGUUUCAACUCCCCCCCCCCCCCCACAGUGUAGCCGGGGCCCGGGGCCUGGGGUCUGUCAUCGUAUAUCGGGCACACACUGUUCAGGAGCCGCCCCCUGUAGUCCCGCAGGCCGGCAGUGCGAGUUCGAUUCCAGCUCAGGGAAGAAGCUUCACACAAAAGCCGAUAAACUGAUUGACAUCACGAAACAAAAGCAACAGCCGCGGAGUAGAUUGUGUUUGUGCAGUGUAACCGGCACUUGUCAUUGUGCCCCCACCGCCCCCGCUGUUCAGGACUCGUUUCCAAUAUUCCCCGAUCGUGGGUUCGAUUCCAGCUCCAGGAAGAAGAAUCACACAAAACUCAUGGACCUCGCGAUGCAAAAGCAAAGUGAUCCGUCUUCAUCAUUUGGGACAUGGAGCGGGUUAGCAGCUUUAAAUUCCAGGGUGUCACUGUCUCCGAGGAGCUGUCCUGGACCCAGCAUGGAAGUGCAACUGUGGAGAAAGCAUGGCAGCACCUCUACUUCCUCAGGAGUCUCAGAGAUUCAGCGUGACUUCUAAAACUUUGACAAACUUCCAUAGAUAUGUACUGGAGAGUGUAUUGACUGGCUGCAUCACCGCCUGGUAUGGAAACACCAAUGCCUUUGAACAGAAGAUCCUACAAAAGGUAAUGGAUUCGGCCCUAUAAGCACAGGUAAAGCUCUCCAAACCAUUGAGCUCAUCUACGUGAAACACUGUUAUAGGAAAGCACCAUCCAUCACUGGGACGCCUACCACCAGGCCAUGCUCUCUUCUCGCUGCUGCUAUCAGGUAGAAGGUUCAAGAACAGUUACUACUCCUCAACCAUGAGGCUCUUUGACAAAAGGGGUUAACUACACUCACUUGCCCAUCUAGUGAGAUGUUCCCACAAUCAAUGAUCUCACUGUAAGGACUUUUUGCCUUGGUAUUUCAUCUUCUCAUUAUUUAUUGCUCGUUAGUUGUAUUUGUAUUUGCACAGUUUGUUGUCUCUUACACUCUGGUUGAUCUUUCACGGAUCCUGUUACAGUUACUAUUCUACAGAUUUGCUGAGUA